ensembl:lncRNA
AACGUGCAGAAAUGGAGGGCCCUGGUCUCUAUUAGGAAUUUCAAGAGGGUGAUGGAGCAUUAAACCAAGAGGGGGAGGACCCAGGGCGACCUCUCAGGUGGGAGCGCCAAGCCAGCCCUGCUUAUGCUAAAUGCUUCCCGAGCAUCAUCUUAAAAAGGCCUGGUUACUGGUAAUAAAUCUCCGGGAAGGCAAGGCCCCUGCCUGGGGUCAGCAGAAGUGGCUGCAAAGGCAGGUGCCACACAGUCAGGGGAGUGCCAUUCUGGGGACCCCGCAGCACCUGCCCACGUGCCUCCCUGGGGUCGGAGUUUCCCCACCUUCCUCCCCUUCGCCCUCCCCUCCUCCGCGCGCCUUAAGGAAGGUCGGCCUGGGCUUUAUAAAGUCUUCUAUGCCCCCCUGAAUCUAGUCAGGGGUGCGGCAUGGGGAAGUGACUUACAUUUGGAAUUUUUUAUUGGGCCCCGCGCCCGGCCCUGUGCCGAACAGAAGGCAGAGACCCCUCCCCGCACUCCGACCUUGGGCAUCGGGUCCCUGAGACACCAGUCGCCAGGCAGCCCUCCAUUCAUUCCCCGGCCUCCUGCCCAGGCCACCUCGGCCCGCACAGGAGAGCACCCGGCCGGCCUCUCCCGAGAGCUCGGCACCUUUGCCCCCGCGGGGCGGUCCGCCCGGGGCCCUGGACGCUCACCCUCCGAUGCCCACAAUGUACUUCAUCUCCGCGCGGAGGGGCGGCGGGGACCGCGGUUGGCAGGCCAACUCCCGACUCCCUGGUACCCGGCUGGGCCCGACCCCGCAGUGCGUCCCGGCUUCAUUGAGAAAACCCUGCGCCUUUAUAGGCUGGAGCAGCCCGGAGGCCGCCCCCAGGGAGGCGGCCCACGGCCUUUGGGGAGCGCGGCCGGCGGCGCGAUGAAGUGUUGGGCGGGGAGCGCUGGGGGCGCCGCACCUGUUCCCACUGGAUGGAAAUAGCUCCACGCUGUCUUUUGCCUAAAUUAGUCACGGGUCGGCCGGGCAGGGGGGUGCGGGUGGAAGUCACCCCGCUGCCUCUUCCCCCCUCCUCCCCGCCUGCCCCCUCCUAGCCAGACUGCCCACGGGGCAGAUAACCAGCCACACCUCCUCCCUCCCUAAAAAUAUCCAGCCCGGUGUGUACCCUCGCCUGACCCUGACAUUAAGGCCGGUUCUGGGGGCUGAAAAAAGGAGCUCACCCCCCCUUCCCCGUCUCCAGCGACAGCAGCGGGCCAGUCCCAGAGGUACCACACGACAGGGGACUUCCUUUUCCAAGGGGGUUGAUGCCAAGAUGAACUUAAGCUUUGUUCUCGUGACCCUGGCCGCCAGGAAAUCUCAGCGUGACACCAGUGGCUGUUCAGCGGACGCCCACGUGGGAGCUAGCGUCACUGCGUUUGGCUUCAGGCCUCUCAGCAGCUAGGGGGUGGGGUAGGCAGGGCCCUGCUGAUCCCCGCCUCCUUACUGACCAGAUGGGACCACAUGCCCCACCCCGCCUCCCCACCAGAGGAGACCUUUUGGUUUCAGGACCCCUUUUCCACUCUUGAAAAGGACUGAAGCCCCGGGGAGCUUUUGUUUAAACGGAUUAUCGUCAUGGAUAAUAUUUACCACGUUAUACAUUAAAACUGAGAAAAAUUAAAGGUUUGUUAACUUU